CCCUCUUACUUCUCAAGAGCUUGAUCUGAUCAGAUACAACGCCCGGGCAUCUUGGCAGAAUGAAACACAAUGGUCCAAUUCUUCAGUGACAACAUACUCAGGCAGUUACUGAGAAAAACAACUGGAUGAGUCCACCUGCAGCCGCUUCACUUUUAGAGCAGGACAGCAUGCGCCUGGGUGUAAACGGAUGGUAUUGUCAAACAGCUCUACCCACAAUCCUCUGCUCUGCAGGGCUGGUACCCAAGAGACUAAAGAUGUCAAAGGCUGAUUCCCUGAUAUAA
rnacentral:lncRNA from 1 species